rnacentral:tRNA from 1 species
GGGGAUGUAGCUCAGUUAGUAGAGUACUCACCUUGCAUAUGCAAGGCCUGGGGUUAAAUUCCCAGCAACACCA